UUAAGUAGUAUCAGUUAAGAUCUCAAAACUUAAAGAAUUUGGCGGUAUUUUAUUUUAUUUAGAGGAAUAUGAUUUUAAAACGAUAAUCCACGAAAAUCUUACUUAAUAUUAAUGUUAUGUAUAUCUCCGUCGUCAGAAUUGUUAAUAAUAAUUUUUUCCUAAUAUUUUGGGAUGAUAAUAUGUCAGGUCAAGGUGCAGAUUAUGAUUAAGUUAAAUUGUAUUACAAUAAAGUUAUUUAUGGAUAAAUGGAUGAAUAUUGAUUUAGAAAUUGGAUUUAAAAGUAAAUUUAAAAUAUUAAUUUAAGUUGAAUGAAUUUUAAAAUAUGUA
rnacentral:rRNA from 1 species